UCACUGUCUUUCCUCCGUCGUAGCAAGACCCACCCCGGGCAGACUUGCGCGACUAGGAAAGGCAUCCGGUGUCUUUAACAUUUCCUAAGCUCAAGUUCUGGAAUGCACAAACGGGAUUCGAUCUCGGCCAUGUUCCGCGGCUUAUAUAAGUCUGACACCUUUCGAGCAGUGUUUGGUAUAUUUCGUUUGCACGGACGCUGAUCGUUACAUCUUUAUUAAGUAUUUGCAUUUCCUGUGAACAAUCAGCAACUCAACUAUGGCCAAUCGCUGUUACAAAUUAACAAUUCUACACUCCCGGCUCGUGUGACCGAUUGCCGUUUGCAAUACCGAUUCAUUACAGUCGCUAAAAGUGACGCGCGAGUGUAAAAUUUACGAAAACAGCAAUUCAAUUAACACGGUAUUAUUACAGCUGAACAAACUGUAAAUUGGAUCUGCUGCACUCGACCGCCACUCCGGCGGGCACCACUAUAUUCGGCGGAGCGACCAGGAAUAUUGUGGUUUCAACGUAUUCAAUGGAACCGAUGCACAAAUUAUGAGUAAUGCAACCGUGUGGAUUGUAUAACAGUCGCGGAAAAUACUAUCCGAGAUAAUUUAAUAUCUACAGUAUACACGCACAGUGUUAUGGGUCAUCGCGACCUACGUUUAGUGCACGCCCGUGUGGAGUAUACAACUCGGCACAGUGCGAUUUUCAACGCUGUUACACUGUGUGUCAUAUGGAUGAACGUGCGUGUUGGAAAUCGUCGGACGAAUAAUUAUUUUAUUCGUAAUUAUAUUUUAUUGUCGGACAGAAUAUUUUGAUGAUGCACCGUUUCGCGCCGUUAAGGCACGAUACAAAUUAUUCAAAUUAAUUCUUGCAUAGUCUGUAUCUAUACUUAAUAUUAUAAAUAGGAAACAUUUAAUUGUUUGUAUUGAAUAGGCUCCGAAACUGCUGAACCGGUUUGAAUGAAAUUUGGUACAUAGAUAGUUUAGGCACUGAGAAAGGACAUAGGCUACUUUUUAAUACCAAAAAAGGGCUGCAAGGGGUUGAAAUAGGGGAUGGUAUAUAUUAUAACAAAACUAAUUUUAAAAAAUUAAAAAAAAAAAAAGUAAUUAGACAUAUUUUUAGUAUCCUAGAACCGCUUAGAAGAAAUUUAAUAACAAAUAUUAUUAAACAAUUAAAAAAUACAUAUGUCUAUAGCUUUUACCACCUUAGAGGUGGAAUAUUGAAAAAUCCUUUCUUAAUGCAUCCCCCUACAUUGCUUAAGGAACCUCUGUACAAAAUUUCAAAUCUCUAGACCCAGUGGUUCGGUCUGAGCGUUAAUGAGUGAAUUACUAAAUAGAUAACAACAAAAAAAAAAAAAAAGUAAAUAAAUUACUUUAGAGUAACUUUUUGAUAAAGUUUUACUGAAAAAUGAAAAUAUGUUUUUCCUUUGUGGAGUCAUAAAAAUACAUGCAACUAUUGGAUAGGGUCGACUGAAAUUUUGUAUUAAACUAAUAAAUAUAUAUUAGUACAUUCUAAAUAAUAACGCCGCUGCCGUCUGACGUAUUUCACUUCCAUUGCAUCUUGCGACUAUUAAACACGUAUUUAUUCGAAUACACUUUGAAAACCGUUUGAUCAACGUGAGCUUCACACACUAUUCACUCGUCUAAUACACGGGCAACGUCGAUUUGAUUGUUUUUAUUGAAUAGGCUCCGACUGUUAUCGUUAUCGUGGUGGCGUGUGUGUAUAUUUUGUGUUGUGUAUAUAUAUAUAUAUAUGUAUUUAUUACUAUUCAAACAAACAAUCAAAUUUUUUCUUUUUACAAUAUUAGUGUAGAUUAGUGUCGGCGCACACUCACACACAAUACAUUACACUCGGAAUUCACCUGAUGAGGUGACUUUCCAACGAACGUCGUUUUGCCCGGGCAACGCUUGGUGGGACAAUUAGUAUUAUAUAUAGGUAAUUUAACUGUCUGAACAUUUCCAUAAAUUAUAAUAAUCGUGAAAAUAUUGGUUCGAUAUUUUUAUUCAAUAACCUGCAGUUUUAGUAAAAAAUCUGCUUCAAAGUUAUUAUCAAGUUAUAAUUAAUAAUAUUUACUGUUCUAUGUAUAU